AAGACCCCCUUCUUAGAGGAACUCAUUCUUCCCCACUGCCAUCAGCAGAGCCGUCUCUUGCUAUAUGCAGACUAUGCGGGUGCACCCUCAAUAUCUGAGGAGUGAACCGAUGGAAAAGAUGUGAAAAGUACCUGGCACGCACUUUUUUUCCCCUCCCGUAGCAUCAUCGCUGAGGUUCCAAGCAAACUGAUUGGUCAGAUAUGCUCUCUACCGUGCUGCGUUGCUAUGACGACCACCACUACCAGGCAAGGAGAGGCAGGCGAGUUGCGCUGAGCCCCCGGUACCUGUCAUUCACGACAUGGCAUCAAAACGAACCAUUCAUCUGGUUCAGAAAAAAGAAACUAGAUGAAGAAAAACACUCACAGGAUAAAGGAUCUAUUCUGCUUGGUAACCUGAGGAGUUUUGAAGGAGCAAGAUUUUGGAGCCGUGGACCAGGAAUCAGCACAGCUGCCUUCAGCACCACCGGUCCAGCAUGUUUAAGUUUAAGAAAGUUUUACAAUUUAAGUUAAACACUUUUGAGGAACAGCAUCAGUUUCAUUUAUUGACCUAUAGAGGACCCCCACUGUUUACCUUGUAACAUUUUCUAUCAGUUCAACUUGCUUGGGUGGAUCAACAUAAGAUGUUUUUAAUUUGAGAGGUUUUCACAACUCUAGCCUGUUUUCCUCUUACAGUGUAAUAGAUUGUUGUAUCUUUGUGGAUCACCUGAAAGGGUUAGGAAUCUAUCCAUCGUAGUUUGGCAAAAUGGGGACCACUAAACAGCACCUUGCAUAGGGCCCCCAAACAGACAGGAACACUGGCCAUCAGACUCAGACUCUACAUCAUAACUCUCCUUACCAUUUACAUUUUUGCACAUGCAUAACUGCAGUUUUCAGAUUUGUUAUCAAUAUUAUUAAAAAUAUCAUUCUCAUCAUCAUCAUCAUCAUCAGUGCUGCUGUUUCCAUUUAUCACGUGCCAUUUGUAAAGUGUGCUUUGAAAGUGCUUUACUUUGUAUAUCAUAUAUUUCAGAUGUAAACAUUUAUUUAUUACACUGUUGGCAUUCUGUGGACAGCAAAGGAAGAAUUUCAUCGCAUAACUGAGAAUGUGUUCUUUACUGUGCAUAUGACAAACGCUUUGAAUCUGGAAUCUAAUAAAAAGGCUCCACACACAUUCCA